ensembl:lncRNA
GGAAGCCGGCCGGGGGCUGAUACCGGGGAGGUGGCGUGGGGAGACGCUCGCCGCCAGCGCCCAGGCGUUUCCCCAGGGCUUCCCAAGAUUCAAACUCGACGGCCCUCGCCACGUCCCGCUCAGGAGGAUGAGAGGGACAGCGAGGGAAAGCGCUCUUGCGGCGAGAUUAAAGAUUAGAACACCUAGUUCAUGCCCGGCCCCGCCUUCCCCUGCCGACUGACGGCGCGCCGGGCCCCGCGCUCCGCCCGCAGACUCCCUGGAGCCCUAGCACGGGCGCUGACGGGCACCCGGCUGGCGCGCUGACGUCAUUGUGCGUCGGCGUGGGCCCUGAGCGGGCGGGGGGCUUCAGGAGCUCUGAAGCCGCGCAGCCCCGCUGCUUGUUCAGCCCGUGUGGCUGCUCCGCGGACAGUGGCGGUUCCUGGCGGCAUCGCUGUUUUCGCGUUGGACGCGUUGGCCCGGUGAUUUACAGUCCUGAAGAGUCUACUUCUUCCUUCUCAUUUUUUCCCAUUGAAGUAAUAAAUCCAAUUGUGGAGACUCAGAAAUUUUAUGAAGGGAUAUAGUUUGAAUUCUGUGCAGUGUAAUUUUGUGUAUGAAUUAUAUUUUUAAUUUAUGAAGUGUUUUUAGAAAGAAGGCUAGUAGGGUUAAUUAUUGAUACAUUAUGCAUGAGUAAUGAUUCUGUUGAUAAUACAGUAUCUGCUUAGGCUUAUGUGUUAACACUAGAAAGGACAAACUGAAUCUUGGUAAAUUGAUUUACCUUUAAUUACAAAAUGAAUGAUAUACAUGUGUGAUUCUUAAAUGAAAAAUAAGUUAAUUUUUUAAAAAAGUUUGUCCUGUGAAAAUUUUAUGGGUAACUAGUUAAAUUUAUGGAGAAAAUACCUUCAAUUGAUCAAGUAUAAUAAACUGUAUACAAAGUUAGGAAGAAAAACAAUGUAAUAAUGAUGCUGCAGGAAAUGGAAACAAAUAUAGAAAAUAUUUAAUAAAGAUGGAAGAGUUAGCAGUUUGUGAAGGAAGCAGAAUCCAUUUCACUUCACAUCAUGCACAGUAUAACAGGCUUCAACAAAGCUUAUAGGUAUUGAGAUCCCCAGAAGUUGUUAGUUGGAGCUAAUUUAACCUUAAGUAAAUACUACAUUGAUAAACUAUGAAAUUAGCUUUUAGAUAAUAUGACCAUAUGGGGACUUUAAUUCUUUUUUACUAGAAUAAAAGAUUUUUUAAAAUAUCAUACUAAAGUGCUGGUAGGGAAAGAAGCCUGCAUAGUUUUUUUCCUCUUAUAGCAUAAUAAUUAAUUGGCUUGAUAUCCAGUCUUUAUAACUUAUAAUCAAAAGCAAAUUAAAGGCAUAAUUUAGGUAUUCUAUCCUUGUUUAGAGUUUUUAGACUGUAAACCUCCUUGAAAAAUCAAGGAGUUUUAACAUUUUCAGAAGUGUGUUAGCUUCUUUCAUGCUAUUAGGUUAGUAUUACACCAAAUAAUGAGCAGAUAGCACCGGAGUUAAUAUAAUCCCAGAGUAUUAAGUAGUGUUUUGGUAAUUAGGAGAUUCAUUCACCUGAGUAUAAACUCAGAUCUAAAUCUAGUGGAGAAGAUAUAGUGAAUUUUACCUAAGUGGGAGCCUAUCAUUUGAUUCUUUUUCAUGAUAAAAAUCUAGUGUGAUGCGAAGAGAAAUUUCAUGUGAAGGAUUUUAGCCAUCAAAAAAGUAUAAUCACUUAUGCACAAAACUGUCUCCCAAAGACUUGUCCCAGGUCCCUCAU